UUGUUUGCUCUUGGAGCACCAUCAAGAUUCACAUGGUUUAGGGGAUUUUGGUUCAGGAUGGUCCCCGGUUGCUCUUAAUCAAGUGUAGCCCUUUGAUAUGAGAAUCUUGAUGAUGCUGCAGCGGCAAUAAA
rfam:Lupinus angustifolius cultivar Tanjil chromosome LG11, whole genome shotgun sequence.